GAUGAACGCUGGCGGCGUGCCUAAUACAUGCAAGUCGAGCGAACGGACGAGAAGCUUGCUUCUCUGAUGUUAGCGGCGGACGGGUGAGUAACACGUGGAUAACCUACCUAUAAGACUGGGAUAACUUCGGGAAACCGGAGCUAAUACCGGAUAAUAUUUUGAACCGCAUGGUUCAAAAGUGAAAGACGGUCUUGCUGUCACUUAUAGAUGGAUCCGCGCUGCAUUAGCUAGUUGGUAAGGUAACGGCUUACCAAGGCAACGAUGCAUAGCCGACCUGAGAGGGUGAUCGGCCACACUGGAACUGAGACACGGUCCAGACUCCUACGGGAGGCAGCAGUAGGGAAUCUUCCGCAAUGGGCGAAAGCCUGACGGAGCAACGCCGCGUGAGUGAUGAAGGUCUUCGGAUCGUAAAACUCUGUUAUUAGGGAAGAACAUAUGUGUAAGUAACUGUGCACAUCUUGACGGGACCUAAUCAGAAAGCCACGGCUAACUACGG
rnacentral:rRNA from 1 species